UCCAGGGUUCCAGAUACAUAACAUUCUGCUACACAGAUGCUGUUUCCUUUGCCCAGCACACCUGUCACUCACCUCAACCCUUUCUCUCUUUUCCCCAUCUUUCUGUGGCUAGCUCCUCCUCAUUCUUUAGGUCUCAGUGUAGAUAGCACCACUAUCAGGAAGGAGUCCAGACACUGCCAGGCCUAAGAUGAGUAAAUGGAGGCUCAGAGACACUAAAUGACCUAACCAAGGUCACUAGCAUGUAAAGUACUAGUGCCCAGACUCUGAUCUGAGUCCUUGGACUUCAAUUCCUGUAACUCCCGCACUGCCAUCAUUUGCCUGACCCUUGGUAUAGCACCAAGGGGUUCUACACAAAGAAGAGUGGAUGCACUUGGAGUAGAUUCACUUCUUCCCAUUCCUCCUGCUAAACUAAACACAGCUAAAGCCCUUGGACAUUAUAUAUAAAACUAACAUAAAAAGACAGAAAGGUGCAGAAAAAGAAGCAGACUGACUAGCAACCUUGGAACCUUGAUUUUGGAACCCAAGAAUUGAAUGGCAGUGAGUUUGUGGAUUUUCUUUUUGCCUCGCAAAUCCUGAACUAGGUGCUAGAGAAGCAGCCCAGAAAUGCCAAAGAGCAUGCACAAAAUAAGGUCCCAAGAAAAGCCUGCUUGUUCUCUUUAGCCAAAGCACUAGGAAGGCAAUUCAGCAAGGCAGAAACUUUUAGAGAAUAACUUUCCUACUCUAGCCAAACACCAUGGAAAAAUAUCACAGCCCUACCACCACCCCUGUUAGCAAAGGCCAAGUGGGGAGCCUAAACUUCCACCUUUAAUUAGCUGUAAGGAGGUACCCUCCCCAGACUCCACCCCUCACCAGGGUGUUAUCAGAGAAUAUGGAGUGGGGAGCUGGGACUUUCAUCCCUAUCCAGAGGUAACGAGCUCUCUAUCCAGCAGCAGUAACAAGGCACCCUUCCAACUCUGCCAGGAUGAAGUCAGAGGAGGCCAUCUGGGAAGUCUGGAAUCCCAUAUCCACCAGUAAAGCACCUUUUUCUCCACUCUGGGUAGUCAAAGGAGGCUGAGUGGAGAACCUGGACCUUCACCCUUGCUUGGCAUUAGCAAAAUGAAACUCCCUCCCUUAACAGGCAUGGUGUCAGAGGAAGCCUGCUAAAACAGAAGAUUUAAGUAAGAUCCAGAGUCUCAUAACACCCAAAAUGUCCAGUGUACAAUUAAAAAAUCACACAUCACACCAAGAACCAGGAAAAUCUCAACUUGAAUGAAAAAAAAAAUCAGCAGAUGGCAACACCGAGAUGACACAGAUAUUGGAAUUAUCUGACAAAGAUAUGAAUACUCUUGGCACAAAAAAUAGAAAAUCUUAUUGAAUAGAAGCUAAAUGGAAAUUUUAGAACUGAAAAAUAUAACCACCAAAGUAAAAAAAAUCCAUUGGAUGAGUUCAAUGGCAGAACAAAGGGGACAGAAGAAAGAAUCCAUGAACUUGAAAACAGAACUGUAGAAAUGACCCAAGCUCGGUGCGGUGGCUCACACCUGUAAUCCCAGCACUUUGGGAGGCCGAGGUGGGUGGAUCACUUGAGGUCAGGAGUUCAAGACCAGCCUGGCCAACAUGAUGAAACCCUGUCUCUACUAAAAAUACAAAAAUUAACUGGGCGUGGUGGCGGAUGCUUGUAAUCCCAGCUACUUGGCAGGCUGAGGCAGGAGAAUCCCUUGAAUCCGGGAGGUGGAGGUUGCAGUGAGCCAAGAUUGCGCCAUCGCACUCCAGCCUGGGGGAGAAGAACGAGACUUCAUAAAAAAAAAAAAAUAAAUAAAAAAAGAAAUGACCCAAGCUGAAUAACUUUAAAUUGUGUAAAUACACAGACUUCCUUAUCUUCUUAAGUUUUCUAAAUUGUUUGAUGGCUGAAGCAAAAAGUAUAACAUGGCCUGAAUGUGGAUCUCAAUGUAUAUAGAUGAAAUAUUUAAUACAAUUAUAUCAUAAGUGGAAAAAACAAGGGACUUACAAGAAGGUAAGGUUUCUACUUUUGUAUUGAAGUGAUAGAAUAUGGACAUCAGCUGAUCUUUUUUUUUUUUUUGAAACGGAGUCUCACUCUGUUGCCCAGUAGUGCAGUGGCGCCAUCUUGGCUCACUGCAACCUCCACCUCCCUGGUUCAAGCAAUUCCCCUGCCUCAGCCUUCCGAGUAGCUGGGAUUACAGGCGCCUGCCACCACGUCCGGCUAAUUUUUUUGUAUUUUUAGUAGAGAUGGGGUUUCACCAUGUUGGCCAGACGGGUCUCAAACUCCUGACCUCAGGUGAUCCACCCACCUCCGCCUGCCAAAGUGCUGGGAUUACAGGCAUGAGCCACUGGGCCCGGCCAGAUCUUUGUGGUGAUAAAAUAGUUCUGUUAUCUUGAUUGCAGCGGUGGCUGCAAGAAUCUACAGGUAUGAUAAAACGGCAUAGACUACACAUUGUACCAAUGUCAAUUCACUGGUUUUGAUUGUGUACUAUAGGGCAAUAUUAAGUGAAGAGUACACAGGACCCUUUUUAAGUAUCUUUGCAACUUCCUGUAUGUCUAAAAUUAUUUUAAAUCCAAAAGGUUUUUAAAAAGAGGACAAAAAAAAAGAAUAAAAGAGAACUGAAGGGGCAUCAUCACAGGCAACUGGGGAACCCCCUUUUCAAUCUGGAGGCCAUACGUGAGGGGAGAUGGUGCUCAGAGAGCACAGGUUUCCAGCCUGGAACCUUUGGCUCAGGCCCUAGUCUCACCCUCCAGUGACAUCACAAAGCCUCAGAAGCCCCACCGACCAUGCAGAAGUUUUGCUAACGGAACUAUCAUCUGUGUUUGUAUUGGAAGCAGUUGUUUGGCCUUGCUGAGCAAACGUCUAUGCCUUCUCCAUUACAUCCAAAGGAGAAUAGCCCCAUGUGAAGAAUGGAAUCAGUAGAUGUUUGGUCGCUGUACCAUAUCCACUCCUAGGAUACAACAAGAGCAAGCCCAAUUCUCUUGGUGGUGUGGGCAGUCGGCUUGCACCACGUACCUAUCUCAGCUCUUUUUGGAAGCUUAUGUCCUCCCCACAACUUCCAGCUUUCUUAUGGGACAAGGGUACACUCACCACUGCCAUAUCUAAUCCUGCUUGCCUGGUAAAUGUUCUCUUCUUCUUUACACCCCUGAUGACUCUGGUCACUCUACUCAUCCUGGUCUGGAAAGUAACCAAAGACAAAAGCAACAAGAACAGAGAGACACACCCAAGAAAGGAGGCAACAUGGCUGCCAUAAAGAUCUGGAUCUCUUGGUGGGGACUCCACUGAGGUGAAGACCUGAUUGUACAAGAGAGGCACGGCCACUGGAGCUGUCUCAGAGCCCAGAGCCAGGGGAGCCAGAGCUGCUUUAGCCACCCUGUUCCUCCAUUGCCAGAUGUCCCCCCAGGCCUCAUUUCCUUCCUCUGCCACCAUCCCUCUUAUAAUGCACUCCUCCUGCGGUUCUUUGGCUUGUCCCAGCUUCUGAGUUUGAAUGUCUUUUUUUUUUUUUUUUUUUUUGUGGAUCUUCAAGACUGAAAUAGUAAAUGGCUCUUGAUUUCUGCACUAACAGAGGAAAGAAACAAGUACAUGGAAAAGUAAAAAUUGAUUACAAAGCCUAAAUUUUCCUCUAUAAAUUGGGCAUGUGCUGACUGUGGGAUAUUGAAAUUAUUGGGAGCUCACAGCAUCUCAAGUUAUAUAAUGAAGCUAUUCUGGAAGCUCAUUUCCAGAAGAUCCUUAAAAUGAAAUGGCUCACUCUCUGCUGAAUUCUUCUGUAUUUGGAAACACUGUAAGGAGUCCACAGGCUUCACCAGACUGCCAAAGG
rnacentral:lncRNA from 1 species